AACGAACGCUGGCGGCAGGCUUAACACAUGCAAGUCGAGCGCCCCGCAAGGGGAGCGGCAGCCGGGUGAGUAACGCGUGGGAACUUACCUUUUGGUUCGGAACAACUCCGUGAAACUGGAGCUAAUACCGGAUAAGCCCUAACGGGGAAAGAUUUAUCUCCGAAAGAUCGGCCCGCGUCUGAUUAGCUAGUUGGUGAGGUAACGGCUCACCAAGGCGACGAUCAGUAGCUGGUCUGAGAGGAUGAGCAGCCACACUGGGACUGAGACACGGCCCAGACUCCUACGGGAGGCAGCAGUGGGGAAUAGUGGACAAUGGGCGCAAGCCUGAUCCAGCCAUGCCGCGUGAGUGAUGAAGGCAUUAGGGUUGUAAAGCUCUUUUGUCCGGGAAGAUAAUGACUGUACCGGAAGAAUAAGCCCCGGCUAACUUCGUG
rnacentral:rRNA from 1 species